rnacentral:rRNA from 1 species
AGGGAAUAUUGGACAAUGGACGCAAGUCUGAUCCAGCCAUCCCGCGUGAAGGAUUAAGGCCCUAUGGGUUGUAAACUUCUUUUCUUUGGGAAUAAAAAGCGGUAUUCAUAUCGCCUUGAAGGUACCAGAGGAAUAAGCACCGGCUAACUCCGUGCCAGCAGCCGCGGUAAUACGGAGGGUGCAAGCGUUAUCCGGAUUCACUGGGUUUAAAGGGUGCGUAGGUGGCUUUGUAAGUCAGCGGUGAAAGCCUGGAGCUCAACUCCAGAAUUGCCAUUGAUACUGCAGAGCUUGAAUCAAGUUGAGGUGGAUGGAAUAUUACAUGUAGCGGUGAAAUGCUUAGAUAUGUAAUAGAACACCGAUUGCGAAGGCAGUUCACUAAGCUUGUAUUGACACUGAGGCACGAAAGCGUGGGGAUCAAACAGGA